GACAGAGGAGAGAAAAUAUCACAAAAGGCUUGUGGGUCGAGAUAAGGACAGGGAGAUCACUCACCAAUUACCAUCACAGGCAAAACAGACUUGACUUGGGGAAAUUAAUUUAAUUUAUUGCCAAUCAAAUGUCAGAGUAGCAUAAUGAGAAAUAAAAAAAAUAUCUUAAAGCACCUUCCCCCACGCCCUCCCUUCUUCCCAGGCUCAAUUUCAUUCUCAAAUUCUCUAUCUCCUUCCCUGGCACAACACAGGGGGACUGGGAAUAGGUGUUGUGGUCUGUUUAUCACACAUUGCCUCUGUUGCUCUUUCCUCCUCGCACUCUUCCCCUGCUCCGGAGUGAGAUUCCACUCACAGGAGACAGUCCUCCAUCAACUUCUUCAGCACAGGUCCUUCCCAUGGGCUGCAAUUCUUUAUGAACUGUUCCAGCGUGGGUCUUUUCCACAGGGUGCAGUCCUUCAGGAAAGUCCUGCCAGAAGACCUACUCCAGCAUGGGCUCUUGUCUACCAGGUCACAGCCUCCUUCAGGUGCACACACCUACUCCAGCAUGGGGUCCUCCACAGGCUGCAGGUGGAUACCUGCUCCACCAUGAACCUGCACAGGCUGCAGGGGAAUCUCUGCUCCGGUGCCUGGAGCACCUUCUCGCCUUCCUUCUUCACUGACCUUGGUGUCUGUAGAGUGUUUCACUCACCUGUUCUCACUCCUCUCCUCCAGCUGCUGUUGUGCAGCAGUUUUUUUUCCCCUUCUAUUAUCAUAGAGGUGCUACCACUGUUGCUGAUUGGCUCAGCUUUGGCCAGCAGUGGGUCUGUCUUGGAGCUGGCUGGCAUAGAGGAAGCUUCUGGCAUCUUCACACAGAAGCCACACACCUGUAACUCCCUGCUACCAAAACCUUGCCACAGAAACCGACGACAAUCUCUAACGUUUAUCAGCAAAUUCCCCAGAAAGUUUGCAAAAUAUUUAAUGAGAGCUACAAACAAGGUCUGUGCAUUUAUAUUUUUUCCCACAAAACAGACUACUAAUAAUUAGAAAAUCAGAGAAUACAUUAAAAAUUGGAUGUUUUUGAGAUGCACUCUCCUCACAAAUGUAUUAAAAUGAUGUCCUUAAAAGGAAAUAAAUCACAAUUUAAUAAUCUAAAAUGUUUUUGA
rnacentral:lncRNA from 1 species